AGGGAAUCUUCCGCAAUGGACGAAAGUCUGACGGAGCAACGCCGCGUGAGUGAUGAAGGUUUUCGGAUCGUAAAACUCUGUUGUAAGGGAAGAACAAGUACAGUAGUAACUGGCUGUACCUUGACGGUACCUUAUUAGAAAGCCACGGCUAACUACGUGCCAGCAGCCGCGGUAAUACGUAGGUGGCAAGCGUUGUCCGGAAUUAUUGGGCGUAAAGCGCGCGCAGGCGGUUUCUUAAGUCUGAUGUGAAAGCCCCCGGCUCAACCGGGGAGGGUCAUUGGAAACUGGGGAACUUGAGUGCAGAAGAGGAGAGUGGAAUUCCACGUGUAGCGGUGAAAUGCGUAGAGAUGUGGAGGAACACCAGUGGCGAAGGCGACUCUCUGGUCUGUAACUGACGCUGAGGCGCGAAAGCGUGGGGAGCGAAC
rnacentral:rRNA from 1 species